GACGAACGCUGGCGGCGUGCCUAACACAUGCAAGUGGAGCGACGAACCAGGGCUUGCCCUGGGGCAAAGCCGCGAACGGGUGAGUAACACGUGGGUAACCUGCCCCGAUGACCGGGACAACCCGAGGAAACUCGGGCUAAUACCGGAUGUGCUCCACACACAUCAGUGUGUGGAGUAAAGGAAGCUUCGGCCUCCGCUUCGGGAGGGGCCCGCGGCCCAUUAGCUAGUUGGUGAGGUAACGGCUCACCAAGGCAACGAUGGGUAGCUGGUCUGAGAGGACGAUCAGCCACACUGGGACUGAGACACGGCCCAGACUCCUACGGGAGGCUG
rnacentral:rRNA from 1 species